rnacentral:rRNA from 1 species
AGCGAACGCUGGCGGCAGGCCUAACACAUGCAAGUCGAACGGAUCCUUCGGGAUUAGUGGCGGACGGGUGAGUAACACGUGGGAACGUGCCCUUUGGUUCGGAACAACUCAGGGAAACUUGAGCUAAUACCGGAUGUGCCCUUCGGGGGAAAGAUUUAUCGCCAUUGGAGCGGCCCGCGUCUGAUUAGCUAGUUGGUGAGGUAACGGCCCACCAAGGCGACGAUCAGUAGCUGGUCUGAGAGGAUGAUCAGCCACACUGGGACUGAGACACGGCCCAGACUCCUACGGGAGGCAGCAGUGGGGAAUCUUGCGCAAUUGGCGAAAGCCUGACGCAGCCAUGCCGCGUGAAUGAUGAAGGUCUUAGGAUUGUAAAAUUCUUUCAGCGGGGACGAUAAUGACGGUACCCGCAGAAGAAGCUCCGGCUAACUUCGUG